rnacentral:ncRNA from 3 species
UUCGCACAAUUGGUCAUCGCGCUUGGUU